rnacentral:tRNA from 1 species
AACCAUCGGCCGGGAAUCAAACCCGGGGCGCCCGCGUGGCAGGCGAGAAUUCUACCACUGAACCAAAGGCAAACGGU